UACGAAGGGGGCUAGCGUUGCUCGGAAUCACUGGGCGUAAAGGGUGCGUAGGCGGGUUUUUAAGUCAGGGGUGAAAUCCUGGAGCUCAACUCCAGAACUGCCUUUGAUACUGAAGAUCUUGAGUCCGGGAGAGGUGAGUGGAACUGCGAGUGUAGAGGUGAAAUUCGUAGAUAUUCGCAAGAACACCAGUGGCGAAGGCGGCCCACUGGCCCGGUACUGACGCUGAGGCACGAAAGCGUGGGGAGCAAACAGG
rnacentral:rRNA from 1 species